rnacentral:tRNA from 1 species
AUAGAAUUAGUUAAAUAAAUCUAACAUUAAAUUGUCAAUUUAAAAUUAUUAUGUAAAUAAUAUUCUUUA